rnacentral:ncRNA from 1 species
UAACAGUUUGAUUCUAGCUGAAAAUUUAGCUGCCAUAAACCAAUAUACAUGUAAGUUUUAGCCGUCCCGCAAUCUUAUUAAUUCUAAAAGAAUUUAUAGUUACAUCAAGACUUCUAUACGUAACAGGGCGCCACAGUAAGAAACACUAUUAAACUCUGCAAAAGCAGGAAUUGGGUAUUAAAGUAAGAGUUGGCAAAAUUCGUGCCAGCUGCCGCGGUUAGACGAUAAACUCAAGCUAAUUAACAGUGACUAAAUGUAAGAUGAUUUAAAUAGUCACCUAGGUCUAAUUUAAACAACCUUAGAGCCUAACUCAUCUAAAAUAAUCAUGAAACCAUAAUCUAAAACACGGAUUAGAUACCCGUCUAUUCAUGGAAUAAAUAAAGUCGAAAAAUACGAACUACAGUUUAAAACUUAAAGAUUUUGGCGGUGUCUCAUCGAACCAGGGGAACCUGUCUCAUAACUCGAUAAUCCACGAAAAUCUUACCCUCUCUAGAUCAACCAGCUUGUGUACUGCCGUCGUAAGCACACCUCUAAAAGUACGAGUAUGCAACUAUGUCAAACUCAUAUACGUCAGGUCAAAGUGCAGCUAAUGAAAGGGGCGACGAUGGGUUACACCCUAAAUAAAGAUACGAAAUAUGGCACCAAAAGCCACAUGAAGGUGGACUUGGACGUAACAAAAAUACAAAAUUAAAAUGAAAACGAAUCUGAGACAUGCACACAUCGCCCGUCACUCUUGCCCAAAGGUGAGAUAAGUCGUAACAAAGUAGGUGUAACGGAAGUUGCACCUGU